rnacentral:rRNA from 1 species
AUGAACGCUGGCGGCGUGCCUAAUCCCUGCAAGUCGAGCGAACAGACGAGGAGCUUGCUCCUCUGACGUUAGCGGCGGACGGGUGAGUAACACGUGGAUAACCUACCUAUAAGACUGGGAUAACUUCGGGAAACCGGAGCUAAUACCGGAUAAUAUAUUGAACCGCAUGGUUCAAUAGUGAAAGACGGUUUUGCUGUCACUUAUAGAUGGAUCCGCGCCGCAUUAGCUAGUUGGUAAGGUAACGGCUUACCAAGGCAACGAUGCGUAGCCGACCUGAGAGGGUGAUCGGCCACCCUGGAACUGAGACACGGUCCAGACUCCUACGGGAGGCAGCAGUAGGGAAUCUUCCGCAAUGGGCGAAAGCCUGACGGAGCAACGCCGCGUGAGUGAUGAAGGUCUGCGGAUCGUAAAACGCUGUUAUUAGGGAAGAACAAAUGUGUAAGUAACUAUGCACGUCUUGACGGUACCUAAUCAGAAAGCCACGGCUAACUACGU